GUCUAUGGCCAUACCAUCUUUGACGUGCCUGAUCCCGUCUGAUCUUGGGAAGCUAAGCAGGUUCUGGCCUGGUUAGUACUUGGAUGGGAGACCACAUGGGAAUGCUGGGUGCUGUAGGCU
rnacentral:rRNA from 1 species